UGUUAAACUGUUCAGAAUUUGCAUUUCUGUCCAUUUCCCCGUAGAAAAUCCAGCACUAAUCCUGUGUUUUAACUUCAAAUGUCGGUAGAAGUAUCGGCUCUACUUAUGUAUGUGCUACCUGGAAACCCCGGCUUGCAUAUUUCGACAGGUGAACGAUACGACCCAGCAAAGACAUGGCUAUAGCACAUUCAGAUCUCUGCAGGGAUAUAAAAGUCUGUCUCUAAUUCACCUGAAUAACCACGUCCUGCACAGACAGUCCAUACUCCAAGCGCAUGGACUGCCACAGGUGGCGGGCAGCCCGUGUACCUGCCCAUCUAGGGGCAGGUGCGGCGCUUGCUCCUCUGCCUGCCCGAGGGCUGUAGGCGGCAGCCAUGGCCGUGCAGCACAGCCUUUUAAGGGAGAACAAUCUCUUCUGCCUUUGUCUCCUUCACUAAAUAGGGUGCUGCAGACAGAGAUGCGCUCGCUAACUGGAUUUUUACUUCUCCUUGCAGUGCCUGAUGAGGAAAAUCCCCAUGCUCCCACCAUGUAUUGGGGUUUCGGCUCCAGAUAAUAUUUUCUGUGCAUAAUAACUUGCGCAGUCUCAGGGAACUUUGUCGGCACGGCGUGAAUUUGUCCACCUUUAAUCAGCGUUCAGGCCGGAGAGCGGCUUCCCACCCCUAUGCAUGGGUUGGUGUGCCGCUGCUGCCGCCCGGGAAUGGUUUGCUCUCUCCGCAGCUCAGCCAGCACUGCAUCAGAUUGUUUGGGAAGUCAGCGGGGCUGCCGGGUACCAGGAUAAAGUUCUUGGAAAGGCGUCAUUGCAAGAGGAGUGAGUACUGCACUAUGUGUUGCACGGAGGCUGCGGGGUUUGUUCGGUAACUGCAGGAUCGGUGGAGCACCGUGUAAUCUUCUGACAGUGCACACAGGAACCACAGUUACAGCCAGUCACGGAUUCGUUUGCUGCUUGAGUGCCAUAAAACAUUUUCAGAAAUGGAAGGAGAAAAAGGGCAAAGUGCUAAAGCUACCAGUGCCGUGGGUGACCUGAGGAAAAGUUGGCAGACCUGGGCAGAGGAUCACAUUGAGUAUCAGCGGAAGAAUCCGUUCAGCAGUGAUGACAGGCUUGCAUCUAAACCUGCACAUACUCACAGAGGAGAUCCUACCUACGGGAGACCUCCUGAAGGGUCUCGGACAGAGCAGAGAGGGAAAGAUGCUCACUCACAUGUGGGUAAGGAAGUAGAAGAGCUGUGCUUGAUCAUCAGAAGAACUGGAGAGGUGGGAGAAGAUGGACACGUGAGAGUGACAUUCGGGCAGCUGUUUGAAACAUAUGUGACUAUUUCCAAUAAAGUAGUGGGAAUCUUGUUAAGAGCCAGAAAACAUGGUCUGGUUCAUUUUGAAGGUGAAAUGCUUUGGCAAGGAAAAGAUGAUGAUGUGGUCAUCACUUUACUACAAUAAGGCUUUGUCCUGGAAGGAACUUUGCUGCAUGGUUCCAUUUGGAAAAACAUCUAGAUACCAUCUUCACAGGUUUUGGUUACAGAAUUUCAACUCGGCGACCUACUGGGACACAAGCAGGAGAGGAAAUGGGCAAGAAGGAUAUUUUUGUAAAAAUGGUAGAGAUUCAAACAGAAAUCACAGAUUAUGAGCUACUCCAUCAUGCUGACAUUGGAUUGUCCUUAUUAUCAUCUACUAGCAAGUAUAUGGGAGUUCUUCAAAUAACUGUGCUGGCCUGCUGCUUUUAGGUUACUGAAAGUAUAAAUUACUAACUUGCUAUCCUACACCACUGAUUCCUGCAGGUUGUGAAACACUUACUGCGUGGGAGAAUGGGAUUUGUAGAACGUGGAAUUAAAAACUCUUCUGGGAAUUCAUAUACUUCUUCAAACAAAGAGCCUGGUAUAUAGCAAAAAUUUAGGUUCAGUCUCACAUGGUUAAAUUGAAUAAAUGGAAGUUAUUGUCAUGAAGUAGAUAGAAAUUCCCAAACUUCCAAAAAUAUCACAGCAAGGAUACUUGAUGGUUCCUAAAUUAGUUGCAUCUUGCUUGGAUUUUGGACAGCUGCACUGGUUCUGGUAUUUAAUACUCUAAUCUUACCAUCAUAUCUUCUCCAAACCUUCUGUGUCUCUUGUUCUUUUUGCUUUCUAUCUCACACCAUUUUUACCUUUUCUGUUCUAACGCUUCAGAAGUCCACAAAGCUCUGCAGCCUUUUCAGCGAAUUCAGCUAUACCCCUUCAGAGACAGUAGGGUGCCAUAAUAUAAAGAUGUAUAAGUCAGCAGAUACGCUGUAUUGGGGCACCUGCGCAUUAUUCAUCAUUCCCUUAUGAAUAAGGGAAAAAAAAAGCUCUUCUUUCACCAAAAUGUAGCAAUGUUUUUUACAAGAGGAGAGAUACUGUAGUGCCAAAUGCAUAAAUGAAAGUAUAGCAGCACAGUACCAUACCUCAUUUACCUGCUUUCAGAGCACAGUUGUGAGCUCUUCAGAAAGAAAAAUAAACAUAGUUGUAAUAGUGCUAUGAAAAAUAAUCAGGAGCUGUAUUUACAAUAGUCCCCACCAAUAAAGCUGUAUAAUUAGAAAUCUAAAGUUCUAAUUUUUAGCAGUGCAAAUUCUGUGUGGUGUUAACUACAGUACUUGAUGGGUCUUUAAGAUACUGUUCUUGCAUCAAAAGGUUAUUAAAAUUUAAUAUAAAUUAGGAACUUGAUAAAAGUGAUGUGUAAUUUUAUGCUAUUUAUACAAAAGAACUUCUGUUGCAAAAAGCUUAAAAGAAUGGGGUUUUGUUUUGAUAUUUUCAUCCAAUGGGGAUUUGCAUCAAACUAAGUCUUUGGCUGAGGAUUUCAUUAUUUUCUUGCCUCCUUUUUUCUUUUUCUGGUGAAAGGACAAUGAAAAGAGGAAAAAAAAAAAGGAAUAAAUUAAUCUGCUGAAAGAAGUAUAUCUGGGGAACAGGGCAGUCAGAUGCAGGUAGAGAAUGGAUUUUAAUCACCACAUAAUUUUACCACAUAGGAAAAGGGGCAAUAUGUGCUGCACCAGGCACUGUUGGUGUGCUCCCUUAGGUUUCAAACGUACUGCUUCUUUCUGAACAGAUCUACAUCUUGCAUCUGAAAAAGAAGACAUGUAGUUUGUGAUCUUAACAUAUUUAAAAUGCUUUGUUCUUUUUGGAAAAGUAUUUCUUGCCAAAUGACAUGAGCGCACCUCUCAGGGUAUUUCAGCUCCUGUUAGAGGAAGUCUUUACAUGCAUUCAGAUUUCAACACAAAUUGAGCUUUAUAUAGUGCAGUUAUGGAAUGAGUUUUGUUUAAUUCUUAAAAUUCUGAAAUCCACUCAGUUCUGCUGUAGUGUUAGCUCAUAACUUGCAGGAGGCAUCAUCAGGCACUUCAAGUGUCACCAACUGACUAAUGGAAUGGCACUAUCAGGAAAAAUAAUACAUUGUUGGACAUUGUACAAAUAAUUAAUUGCAAGACACACAUGUGAGCUAAUACAUAGCCUGAGCACCAUAAGAUGCAAGUCCAGCUCACAUAAAUUUACUACAUUUUAAUUAAGGCUGGCUCAAAUAGUUAAAUAUCAGCAAUCUAGGCUGUCACUGCCAUGUAAGUGGUAGAUGCUUGAGCACAUCUACAAGCACUUUAAGUACACCUCUAAUCAAAACAGAAGCAGAGCAAACCCUUAAUGACAUGGUCUUCCCUACUUUGUAAGCAACUAAAAAAAGCUUGCUCUAUUAUUAUAUUUUUAAUAGAACCAAGGAUUAUUUUAUAACAAAACUAUUAUUUAUAGAGGGAUUUUUUUUUAAACAGUAACAGAGCCAUGUUUCCAACCUGCCAGCUUUAGAUGAGCAUUCUGGAAAAUGGGACUGAAAUCUUUCUGUGUGCCCAUGCAAUGAUUAUAAACACCAAGCUGCCAAACUGGCUCAGCACACAGGUCGACAAAUUCAGGCUUGUGCUUGCAGCAAUAGCCAGUAUUUAAAAAAAAGACUAAAAGACAGAUAAUAGAAUUGGUCAGCUUGCCCACUGGUACACUCUAGAAUAAAAAAUUACUCCUGAAGCCUGUAUAGUCAUGAAUGCAUUAUAUCUAAUGCACAUGACUCAGUUUAGCUGCAAGUUUUACAAAAUUAUGCUUCAUCUGUGAUUAGAUUAACAUCUACAGAUUAAAUAGGAAUUUAUACUUUUCAACAUGCAACUUGUUUGUUUCAGCAGGCUUCCAUUAGAGUAAAUGGAACAGAAUUUAUUAAAUUGUUUUUGCAAAAUUGUAGCAUGUGAGGGGUUUUAGUAUUACAGAUUAUUUGGAGUCGUAAGUAAACCCCAACCUUUUUAAAAGGUGAUCUUGCCCUAUUAAGCAUCUUUCAGCUGUUUAAAUCUCUCCUAAACUUCACUUUGUGACAGAUUACCUCAGUGGUGUUUGCCCUCCUUCCACCUGAAGUCUGUAAACUCUGCAUCUGUUUUGGACUGUAUAUCAUAUAGGGAUUAUCUGUGGCUUGUUUUGUUAAACACUGAAGGCACUGUCACCAUUUCAAUAAAUAUUGCACAUUAGUUUGAAAUUACAAGUUUUUAUGCAGCAUUUUAUUGUUUAAAAGUUUUUCAGAUUUCAAAGACAAUUUUCACUGGUUUGCUCCCAUUCUCCUAUUUUUAUUUACAACUCACACUUAAAAAGACUUUGGAGUAGUCUGAAGUGUUAUUACCAAUUUAAGCACAAUUUCUUUUUAUUUUUUAACAGCAUUUUAUGUGUAUUUGUUUCACCCUUUCACCAUAAAAGCAUUAUUCUCUGGGUUCGUGUUAGGUUGGGAGUUUAUGUAAAACAGUUGAGCAAAACAGUACAAAUAAAGCUUUAUCAUUCCUAAA